GUGGCUAUAGCUCAGCUUGGUAGAGCGUCGGAUUGUGAUUCCGAAAGUCGUGGGUUCGAAUCCCACUAGCCACCCCA
rnacentral:tRNA from 1 species